rnacentral:rRNA from 1 species
AUUGAACGCUGGCGGCAGGCCUAACACAUGCAAGUCGAGCGGAUGAGGGGAGCUUGCUCCCUGAUUUAGCGGCGGACGGGUGAGUAAUGCCUAGGAAUCUGCCUGGUAGUGGGGGAUAACGUUCCGAAAGGAACGCUAAUACCGCAUACGUCCUACGGGAGAAAGCAGGGGACCUUCGGGCCUUGCGCUAUCAGAUGAGCCUAGGUCGGAUUAGCUAGUUGGUGAGGUAAUGGCUCACCAAGGCGACGAUCCGUAACUGGUCUGAGAGGAUGAUCAGUCACACUGGAACUGAGACACGGUCCAGACUCCUACGGGAGGCAGCAGUGGGGAAUAUUGGACAGUGGGCGAAAGCCUGAUCCAGCCAUGCCGCGUGUGUGAAGAAGGUCUUCGGAUUGUAAAGCACUUUAAGUUGGGAGGAAGGGCUGCUGGUUAAUACCCUGCAGUUUUGACGUUACCAACAGAAUAAGCACCGGCUAACUUCGUG